rnacentral:rRNA from 1 species
CCCUUAGAUGUUCUGGGCCGCACGCGCGCUACACUGAUGCAUUCAACGAGUCUAAAACCUGCUCUGAUAGGGGUGGGUAAUCUUUUGAAUGUGCAUCGUGAUUGGGAUAGAUGAUUGCAAUUUUUCAUCUUCAACGCGGAAUGCCUAGUAAACGCAAGUCAUCAGCUUGCAUUGAUUACGUCCCUGCCCUUUGUACACACCGCCCGUCGCUCCUACCGAUUGAAUGAUCCGAUGAAUAUCAUGGAUUGAGGAUGCAAGUAGGUUAGCCUAUCUUCAUCUUCGAGAAGUGAAGUAAAUCUUAUCAUUUAGAGGAAGGAGAAGUCGUAACA